AUGAGUGCAAGGCUGCUCUGCUGUCUAGCACUUUGUCUCCUUGGGGCAGGCCUUGUGGACAUGGACGUAAUCCAGACACCAAGAUAUCUGGUCAAAAGAACGGGAGAGGAGGUUUUGCUGGACUGUGUACAGGAUAUGGGCCAUGAAAGAAUGUUCUGGUAUCGACAAGACCCAGGUCUAGGGCUACGGUUGAUUCAUUUUUCAUAUGAUGUUGACAGUAACAGCAAAGGAGACAUCCCUGAAGGAUACAGGGUCUCUCGGAAGAAGCGGGAGCGUUUCUCACUGAUUCUGGAGUCUGCGAAAACCAGCCAGACAUCUGUGUACUUCUGUGCCAGCAGCCCUUAUGCUGACCCACAGGCCCAGCAUUUUGGAGAGGGGACUCGACUCUCUGUUCUAGAGGAUUUUAGCAACGUGAGUCCGCCCAAGGUCACCUUGUUUGAGCCAUCAGAAGCAGAGAUCGUCGACAAACAAAUGGCCACCCUUGUGUGCCUGGCCAGGGGCUUCUACCCUGACCAUGUGGAACUGAGCUGGUGGGUGAAUGGCAAGGAGGUCCACAGUGGAGUCAGCACAGACCCUCAGCCCUACCUGGAGAAGAAUAACCUCACCUACUGCCUGAGCAGCCGCCUGAGGGUCUCUGCGACCUUCUGGCACAAUCCUCGCAACCACUUCCUCUGCCAAGUCCAGUUCUAUGGGCUUACAGAUGAAGACGAGUGGACCGAGUCCUCGCCCAAGCCUGUCACCCAGAACAUCAGUGCAGAGGCCUGGGGCAGCGCAGAUUGUGGUAUUACCUCAGUGUCCUACCAACAAGGGGUCCUGUCUGCCACCAUCCUUUAUGAGAUCCUGCUGGGGAAGGCCACCCUGUACGCUGUGCUUGUCAGUACCCUGGUGCUGAUGGCCAUGGUCAAAAGAAAGAAUUCCUGAGGCCAGACUAGGAGGCGGAACCCAGAACUUCCAACCCCUUGUGUUGCUAAUACAGAUUCUCUGUUUCCAGCACUUCUGAAGAGUUGUCCUCAUUUGUCUGUGUGUCCCAACAUCUGCUUAUUAGUCAUGUGCACUUACCCAUGUGCAUCUGAAAUCCCUGGGACCUGGAGAGCACCUAGCAUAUAUACAAUCAAAAAACAUAACCAAUAAACUUGUUCUAGAA